UCAUGGAAAUUCAGUUUCCAUUCUACCUACAUGGCAACAACACACAGUAACUACAACCUAAAUGGUUACUUGAGACUUUAGUGGAAAAAUCAUUUCAAAUGAUUAUCAAAUAGGCAAUUCAAAAUAAUUAUUUACAAUAUUCAUUAUGUAAUUCUUUUAUAUAUUCCAUGAGAUUAAAGUGAUUACUACAGGUAAAAAUUGCUACAAGCAAAUGGGCACAAGAUGAGGUGAGAAAAACCUAUACAGAGGUAAGAGACACCAAUUUAUUCAAUUUGCCCUUCUAUUCUGGGAAAGAUUCAUAAACUAAUGCUAAACUUCCGGUCUUCAAGCAAAAGUUAAAUGCUUACUUUUCAUGAGCAUAACCAAAUUCUUUAGGAAUAUAACUUAAUAAUGCAACUUAUGUAAGAAAUACUAUUUAUUUAAUGGUUUUGGGUAAGUAUGAGACUUCAUGGUCUCAAUGCAUCUCCCCCUAAGCCCAACAUCACUUCUGGAAUGUACAUUAUUCCCCUUACACUUAUGUGGUUUAUACAACUUCAUAUUGCAUAGACAUUUGCUAUACUGAGUUUAUGCAUAUUCUUCUUGAAUUGCAAAAGUGACUACAUGGCAACAAAUAUGAUUCUUCAAGAGAACAUAUUAAUUCCGUAUAACUUCAUGGUAUGUAUGAACUCAAAAUGCUGACAUGCUUCUUACGAAUUUACUGCUAUUGUAAAAUCAUAAUGCUAUGUUGGGAAGUAAAUGUGUUGAUUUCAAUCAAUUAAAUAACUUGCAUAGUUAUAUAGCAUUUCUUCUGAAAUUACAUGGUGCUAGACUUAAAACCAAUAUUACAUUUCUUCAAGAAAUAACACGCAAUUGCUACAGGCACACUUCAUGUGUUUAAAUGCAUGAAACAAGUGCAAAAUUAAUUAAUAUUGGUUAAUCUAUUGAAUAGAUCAUUUAGAUAGUUUCCUAGAAUUAUCCUAGCAAAUAUUUACCCCAUUCACACGGUUGCUAGGAAAAAUAUAUAAAAAUGACACUCGCAGGGGGUAUUAUGUCUAAGGUUCUUCAAAAUUAAGAGAGGUCAUGAACCUAAAACCAUUUUCUAUGAUUAUAGGUAAUUUUCUAGCCAUUUCAGGGAUUAAUGGUUCAACUUUCAGAAUUAUAUAUCCAUUAAACAAGCUAGAACAAGU
rnacentral:lncRNA from 1 species